rnacentral:rRNA from 1 species
AUGGAUAUAAGAGAUCUAUCACCGCAGGAGAGGGAUUUGCGAAGAACACUGAAACUGAAGUUGCUCGGCCUUUGCUCUCUGGAGCGAUCAAUUGCGCGGCAAAGAUCCAGAAUCCUCUCCCUCCGGGAGGGCGAUGCAAACACAAGCUUCUUUCAUCAACAUGCUUGCCACCGGCAAAGAAGGAACAUGAUCACGACGAUCCGUAGCGGAGACACCACGGUCAGCACGCACUAG